GACGAACGCUGGCGGCGUGCUUAACACAUGCAAGUCGAACGGAAAGGCCCUGCUUUUGUGGGGUGCUCGAGUGGCGAACGGGUGAGUAACACGUGAGUAACCUGCCCUUGACUUUGGCAUAACUUCAGGAAACUGGGGCUAAUACCGGAUAGGAGCUCCUGCUGCAUGGUGGGGGUUGGAAAGUUUCGGCGGUUGGGGAUGGACUCGCGGCUUAUCAGCUUGUUGGUGGGGUAGUGGCUUACCAAGGCUUUGACGGGUAGCCGGCCUGAGAGGGUGACCGGCCACAUUGGGACUGAGAUACGGCCCAGACUCCUACGGGAGGCAGCAGUGGGGAAUAUUGCACAAUGGGCGGAAGCCUGAUGCAGCAACGCCGCGUGCGGGAUGACGGCCUUCGGGUUGUAAACCGCCUUCGCCUGUGACGAAGCGUGAGUGACGGUAAUGGGUAAAGAAGCACCGGCUAACUACGUG
rnacentral:rRNA from 1 species